GCUGUUUCCGCCCGUAGAAACCCGUGGCCCCGCAGGCGCCCGGGGGCGCUGGUUGGCUGGGGUCUGCGUGUGGCGGGUUGGGCGCUUGAGUGCUGGGGAACACUCGGAAGUCGUUUUAGCCCCCUUCUGUAUUUUCUUUUAUUAUUGAAUCCUAAAACAGCCCGAAGAAGGCGGGGGGGGGGGGGGGGGGUUGGUAAGGAUUAGGGAUGCUUGCCUCCCAUUCAGAGAUAAGGAAACUGAGGUUCAGAAAGGCUGCCAGACACCAUGAAUCUAUGAGAGCGUCACUUGUUGUCUCUUGCCUCCUUUUCUCUCCCAGCAAAUAUAAUCUGGGGGCACCUGGGCCUCACCAGACCGGCCUCUCUGAUCACACUCAAGGAUUAACAAUCAGCUGUACUGUGGGCAGAUGCCCUGUCUCACAUACAGAGGAUCGAAAGGCUGGUUUGAGAAGGGAGUCCGUUUCCUGACCGGCCUCCGGGUCCUGUGAGGUCCAACCACUGACCACUGCUCCCCACUCAGCUGCAGCCACACUGGCCACUUUCUGCUUCUCAAAUGUGCAUACCUUGUCCUCACCUCUCAUGGGUUGAACUGCAUCUCUCCCCAAAAUAUCUAGAAGCCCUUGGAACCUG